GCGCAGCAGUCGAGAAACUUCACACUGUGCGAAAGCACGAUGAGGGAAUCCCAAGUGCUUGCACGUAAGUGUAAGCUGUUCCUCUGUUUAAAACGCAGAGAGAGUAAGGGCUGGGUAAGACGGGUGCCAGCCGCCGCGGUAAUACCUGCAGCUCAAGUGGUGACCGUUAUUAUUGGGCCUAAAACGUCCGUAGCCGGUUUAAUAAAUGCCUGGGUAAAUCGUGUAGCUUAACUAUACGAAUUCCGGGUAGACUGUUAAACUCGAGACCGGGAGAAGUUAGAGGUACUCCUGGGGUAGAGGUGAAAUUCUGUAAUCCUAGGGGACCACCAGUGGCGAAGGCGUCUAACUAGAACGGGUCUGACGGUGAGGGACGAAGCCCUGGGGCGCAAACGGGAUUAGAUACCCGUGUAGU
rnacentral:rRNA from 1 species